rnacentral:rRNA from 1 species
AAAGACCCUAUGAAGCUUUACUGUAACUUGAAAUUGAAAUUGGACUUUAUUUGCGCAGUAUAGGUGGGAGGCAUUGAGAAUCUUCUUGCGGGAGGAUUGGAGCCAUCAGUGAGAUACCACUCUUGUAAUGUUAGAUUUCUAACUUUGAAUCAUGAUCUGGUCAAAGAACAGUUUCAGGCGGGCAGUUUGACUGGGGCGGUCGCCUCCUAAACGGUAACGGAGGCGCACAAAGGUUUCCUCUGAACGGGUAGAAAUCGUAUCUAGAGUGUAAAGGCAUAAGGAAGCUUGACUGUGAGACCUACAAGUCGAGCAGGGACGAAAGUCGGUCUUAGUGAUCUGACGGUGCUGAGUGGAAAGGCCGUCACUCAACGGAUAAAAGUUACUCUAGGGAUAACAGGCUGA